AAAGAAAUACAAACAAAAAUUGAAGAAAUGAAAAAAAAUUUUAGUGAGAAAGAAAAAAUAUUGCAACAAAAAAUAGAAAACUUGAUAUAUAAAUUAGAGAAAUUGACAUUUCUGAAAAGGACAAAUCACAGUAAACACAGUGAGUUUGCUUUUGAUGAUUAUAUUUACAAAAGUAAAACACAUGAUGAUAGUACACGUAUUGAUAGUAUACAUAAUGAUAGUAUACAUAAUGAUAGUAUACAUAAUGAUAGUAUACAUAAUGAGAAGGAUAUGACAAAACAUCACACGUUGACAAGUUGUCAGCAUAUACAGAAUGCUAGUGCUGAAUGUGAAGACACUAAAUAUAUCAGUCAGUUACCAACACACAAAUCUUUUAAUGCUCAAUGUCUGUAUACAGAUAAUACACUUUUACCAAGUGUUGACAAUAUUAAUGGUGGAAAGCCUGUACAAAAUAACGACUUCAUAUGUACCAGUAACAGUACAGAUAAUAUGAUAAAUAACGACAUGGUAGAUAGUAGUAUGGUACCUAGUGCAUCAGAAGAAGUUAAAGAUAGAGACGACAACGGAAACAGUAGCAGUAGCAGCAACAGUAAACGCAGUAACCACGAAAUUACUUGCGAACACAACAGCAAAGUCGCUAGUGAAAGUGGAAGUAUUAACGAAGCCAAAACAGGGACAUGGACAGGGCCAGGGAUAGGAACAGGCACUAAUACAAACAACCAUGCAGAGCUAGGAACACAAAUUCCUAUUUAUCCAAACGAAUACAAAAAGAUAAAAAAAAAAUUAGAAACAUAUGAAUUUUUAAUCAAUGAGGAAAAAAAAAAUCAAAAAAAUAUGUUAGAAGAAAUAAAUUAUUUAAGAAACCAAGUAAAAAAUUAUGAAUCAUUAUGCGGUAAUUACGAACAUGUAAUGUACCAAAAAAAUAUUAUUUUUAAUUUUGUGUCACAAAUACCUACUAAUAUUAAGAUUGACGAUUAUGUUUCGGUUAUUUAUAAUUCGUUUAAUUUUUCCUCUAAAGAAAUUGAAAUGAUAAAUGAAAAGCGUUCGAAAAAGUAAUUGUUUCGUGUGUUUUGGUAAGUACGUUUGAAACGGAGUGAA
rnacentral:lncRNA from 1 species